AAGGAUUUAGGAUAAUAAGACCAAGGACCUUCAAAGCCCUAAGUAGAAGUUUAAUCCUUCUAAUCCUUGUAA
rnacentral:tRNA from 1 species